CAUGCAUGCGGAGUUCAGCUUAAAGUGAAACUGCGAACGGCUCAUUAGAGCAGAUGUGAUUUAUUCGGAAAAUCCAUUUGGAUAACUGCGGUAAUUCUGGAGCUAAUACAUGCGAUUAAACCCUGACUAUUGAAAGGGUGCAAUUAUUAGAGCAAAUCAAUCAUUUUCGGAUGUAGUUUGCUGACUCUGAAUAACGCAGCAUAUCGGCGGCUUGUUCGCCGAUAAUCCGAAAAAGUGUCUGCCCUAUCAACCUGAUGGUAGUCUAUUAGUCUACCAUGGUUAUUACGGGUAACGGAGAAUAAGGGUUCGACUCCGGAGAGGGAGCCUUAGAAACGGCUACCACAUCCAAGGAAGGCAGCAGGCGCGAAACUUAUCCAAUCUUGAAUAGAUGAGAUAGUGACUAAAAAUAAAAAGACCAUUCCUAUGGAACGGUCAUUUCAAUGAGUUGAUCAUAAACCUUUUUUCGAGGAUCAAGUGGAGGGCAAGUCUGGUGCCAGCAGCCGCGGUAAUUCCAGCUCCACUAGUGUAAAUCGUCAUUGCUGCGGUUAAAAAGCUCGUAGUUGGAUCUGAGUCGCAUGCAGUAGUUCGCCUUUGGCGUUAAUUACUGUUGUGACUAUUUGCUGGUUUUCUAUUGAAAUUUCGAUUUCUUUAGUGGCUAGCGAGUUUACUUUGAAUAAAUUAGAGUGCUCAGAACAAGCGUUUGCUUGAAUGGUCGAUCAUGGAAUAAUAAAAGAGGACUUCGGUUCUAUUUAUUGGUUCAGGAACUGAAAUAAUGGUUAAGAGGGACAAUUCGGGGGCAUUCGUAUCCCUGCGCGAGAGGUGAAAUUCGUGGACCGCAGGGGGACGCCCUAAAGCGAAAGCAUUUGCCAAGAAUGUCUUCAUUAAUCAAGAACGAAAGUCAGAGGUUCGAAGGCGAUUAGAUACCGCCCUAGUUCUGACCGUAAACUAUGCCAUCUAGCGAUCCGAUGGGGUAUUGUUGCCUUGUCGAGGAGCUUCCCGGAAACGAAAGUCUUUCGGUUCCUGGGGUAGUAUGGUUGCAAAGCUGAAACUUAAAGAAAUUGACGGAAUGGCACCACCAGGAGUGGAGCCUGCGGCUUAAUUUGACUCAACACGGGAAAACUCACCCGGCCCGGACACCGUAAGGAUUGACAGAUUGAAAGCUCUUUCUCGMUUYGGUGGUUGGUGGUGCAUGGCCGUUCUUAGUUGGCGGAGCGAUUUGUCUGGUUUACUCCGAUAACGAGCGAGACUCUAGCCUGCUAAAUAGUGACUAGAUUUUUAUGUCUAGUCUACUUCUUAGAGGGAUAAGCGGUGUUU
rnacentral:rRNA from 1 species